rnacentral:rRNA from 1 species
ACGGGUGAGUAACACGUGAGAAUCUACCCUUUAGUGAAGAAUACCUCCGAGAAAUCGGUGUUAAUACUGCAUACGUCCCUCCGGGGAGAAAGAUGGCCUCUUUGCUAUCGCUAAAGGAUGAGCUUGCGUACUAUUAGUUAGUUGGUGAGGUAAUGGCUCACCAAGACAAUGAUGGUUAACCGGCCUGAGAGGGUGUUCGGUCACACUGGAACUUAGACACGGUCCAGGCUCCUACGGGAGGCAGCAGUGAGGAAUCUUGCACAAUGGGCGAAAGCCUGAUGCAGCGACGCCGCGUGGAGGAUGACGGUCUUCGGAUUGUAAACUCCUGUUAAACGGGAAGAAAGAUCUGUUUCUAAUACAAGCAGAUUAUGACGGUACCGUUAGAGAAAGCACCGGCUAACUUCGUGCCAGCAGCCGCGGUAAUACGAGGGGUGCAAGCGUUAUUCGGAUUGAUUGGGUGUAAAGGGUGUGCAGACGGCUUACUAAGUCACUUGUUAAAUUCUUCGGCCUAACUGAAGAUCUGCAGGUGAUACUGGAAAGCUAGAGGGUGGAAGAGAGAAGUGGAAUUCUCGGAGUAGCGGUAAA